rnacentral:lncRNA from 1 species
AUGAGCAAGGAGGAUGGAGGGCAGCACCACCUGCCCUGGAUCAUCGCGAGUGUUAACAAGGUGACAGGCCUCCAGCAGCUUCCCCAUGGGAGGCUUGGAGGUGAAGAGAUAUGCAGCCGUGUCACAUGGUGUCAUAAGUGGUGGAAUGAGAUGACCCCAAAGCCCUGCUCUGAUUACCAGAUUCCCUUUGCCCCAGCACCAAAGCAGAGGAGACCCAGAAGGAUAAGCCAGAGCAUUGGAGAGCUGGGUUCCCACCCCAACAGUAAGGCAUGGCCUUUGUUGUUAUAACUGAACAGAGUCCAAAGAAGGAAAAAAGGCAGGCCCUGACCACAAGGAGUUCAAAGCUUAGGUUUGUUUUUUUUUCUUCAGUUUUUUUUUUUUUUUUAACUGUGGUAAAAUGUGCAUAACAUACAAUUUAUUGUUUUAACCACUUUUAAGUAUACAGUUCAGUGACGUAUAGCCCCAUUGCGCAACCAUAACCACCAUCUGUCUUCAGAAUUCAUCUUCCCAGAUUGAAGCUCUGUGCCCACCAAACAGUGACUCCCAUCCCUGUCCCAUUCUAGCCCCUGGCAUCCUACAUUACACUUUUCUUUUUGGUCUUUGUUGCUGCACAGGGUGUUCCUUUAGUUGCAGUGGGUAGCGGCUGCUCCCUGGUUGCCACCCACAGGCUUCUCAUCGCGG